rnacentral:rRNA from 1 species
UACUUGCUAGUUACCAUCAUUAAUUGGGGACGUCUAGCGAGACUGCCAGUGAUAAACUGGAGGAAGGUGGGGAUGACGUCAAAUCAUCAUGCCCCUUAUGACCUGGGCUACAAACGUGAUACAAUGGCUGGAACAAAGGGAUGCGAAGCAGUGAUGUGGAGCGAAACCCAUAAAAACAGUCUCAGUUCGGAUUGAAGUCUGCAACUCGACUUCAUGAAGUCGGAAUCGCUAGUAAUCGCGGAUCAGAACGCCGCGGUGAAUACGUUCUCGGGGUUU